GGAAGGAUCAUUAACACAUUGUCCAUUUGAUGGUGUUUUUUUUUGCUACUCCCUGUUAAAGGGGUUGUGGUGAAAAAUACAUCAUUCAAACCCAUAUGUCGAAUGAGUUGAAAAGUCAUCAACCAUUAUUUUAACGUAAUGAUUGAGUGAAUGAUCAAAUCAUGUAAUCACGAUCAACAAGAAGUGUAUCAAUUCAGAAAUGAAUGGAUGUACAAAUUGUUCGACUGAUGUUUGAAAAAAACAAUAAAUAUAUAUAAACCAAGACAACUUGUAACAGUGGAUACCUUGGUUCCCAGGUCGAUGAAGAGCGCAGCGAACUGCGAUAAGUCAUGUGAAUUGCAGAAUUCCGUGAAUCAUCGAACUCUUGAACGCAAAUUGCACUUGGGUGUUGAGCUCAAGUGUGCCUGCUCGAGUGUCGGCAAUAAAUCCUCUACUUCUAAAGUAGAAAAUGAGAGUUCAAUUUUUUUUUGAUCUCUUUAAAUGUAUGGAAUGAAUGAUUCGUUAAAUCAUAUUUUCAUUUAUUUGAAUUAUGAGAAACACGAAUUAGAUUUGUAAAUUAAAAAGGUUUAAUUACCUUUGCUUUUUACAUUAUCUAAGUUUCUUUAAUUUGCUUAUUUGUUUGUAUGUGAAUUUAUUCAUGACUUGUAUUGAAAGAGACUUUUACAAGUUUCUAGAGAUACAAUUUUCAUAAUACUCGACCUCGAAUUAGGCAAGAUCACCCGGUGGACUUAAGCAUAUUAUUAACCGGAGGAAAAGAAACUAACAAGGAUGCCCUCAGUAACGGCGAGUGAAGCGGGCAGAGCUCAAAUUUAAAAUCUGAGAGUCUUAUGAUUCUCCGAAUUGUAGUUUUUGGAUCGUUAGUCACGGUGUCAUUACGUAUUGGGAGUAAGUUCUUUGGAACAAGGCGUCAGAGAGGGUGAGAACCCCGUAUGCGUCCCACGUAGUGAUACAAUAGGUGUCUAGCUUUUCACGAGUCGGGUUGUUUGGGAUUGCAGCCCUAAAUAGGUGGUAGAUCUCAUCUAAAGCUAAAUAUUCCUGGGAGACCGAUAGCGAAGAAGUAGUGUGAACGAAAGGUGAAAAGAACUUUGAAAAGAAGGUGAAAAGUACUUGAAGCUGUUCCAAGGGAACCGUAUGGAAGCAGUGAUAGUGCGGCGACAAUUCAGCGUGCGAUUGUGUUCUCGUGUUGGAUGCCUGGAGGUGUAUGCCCCAGAGUACUGAGCGAAGGAUGCGUGGCGCGUGUACUUUGUUGUCGUACGAGUCAACAUCAGUUUGCUGGUGACGGAGAAAGGUGUAAGGAAGGUAGGUCGACCUCACAAGGGCCGUCUGUUAUAGCCUUGCAUUGCAUACGUCAUCGUGGACUGAGGAAAGAAAACGCAUGCCUCGGCGAGGUAGUUGGCUGACCCGUGGUUAUGGAUGUGUACGUCUGCUUGCAGGGUGCGUGUCCGCUGGCUACGGCAUAGGUUGACCCAUCGGUGCGUUAGUGAUGUUGACGAAAUGCUUUCCUAUGACCCGUCUUGAAACACGGACCAAGGAGUCUAACAUGUAUGCAAGUAUUUGGGUGGCAAACCCGAGUGCGCAACGAAAGUGAGACAGAUGCGAGUUCGUAAAAGAAUGCAGCAUCGGCCGACUGCUUUUAGGAGCGGAUCGCGCCGGAGCACACAUGAUGGGACCCGAAAGAUGGUGAACUUUGCGUGCGCAGGGUGAAGCCAGAGGAAACUCUGGUGGAGGCUCGUAGAGAUACUGACGUGCAAAUCGUUCUUCUGACGUGCGUAAAGGGGCGAAAGACUAAUCGAACCAUCUAGUAGCUGGUUUACAC
rnacentral:misc_RNA from 1 species